rnacentral:lncRNA from 1 species
UGUGUUUCCAGCCACCCAGCCAUGCCAGGCUGCAUCUGUGCCUUUGGGCAGGCUCACCACCCCCUGGCCUGAGGUUUCAUUCUGCUAUUUCUCACUCACUCAAACAAGCACACAACAAACACACACCUCUGCGGAGACAGUCCUCAAGAUUCUCAGGCAGUCGGGGUCCCCUCUCUUUCCUCCUAUCUGUGAUCCCCCCCAAUUCACUUUGAAAUCCUUGAGAAAGGACCCGUGCUCUAGCAUUCUUCAUGUUCAGAACCACACGUAGAGCUGCUGUGAAGUUUUCAUUUGGUAAAUGAUUGCCGGAUUGGAUUUCCUGCCCAGGCCAGCCAUCAGUCGCUCAGAGUUAUGUGUUUCUGGCCUCUCCUGGCCCCUCCUGGCAACUCUGAGCAGCUUAACCGAGCUCAGCAAGGGGUGGAUCCAGUUAAUUUUGCUUCAGGGUCUGCAGGCCUGCGAUAGGCGAGGGCAGGACCACAGCUGUUGAGACUCAGAGUGCCUUGGACUCACAGCAGGAAGCAGAGACACUUAGAGGGGCUGCCCCAUGGUCAAUGCCAUGGCCCCGGGGGUUUUCUCCUCAGGAGCUAUGAGUCCCUGUGGCAACCACAUUUCCCAAAGCUCCUCUCAGGGCAGAGAGACUAUUUUAGUCAGCAGCUGGCCAGUGUUUCCAGACUGUGGAGGUGUGGUUAACAACAACAAGAUGUUCAUCUCUACUAGAGAAGGCUUUUCAAGUAACCCCUUAUCAGGAAGUGGGAGCAAAAGAUUUAAAUUGAACAUCAGCAAUGAAGAAAAGCUUAAAUUCAGACCAGGGACAAAUGUAUAUAGGCCUGAAUGUGCUGUAAUCCUUGGAGAACAAUGGAAAAUAUCCUGGAUGUUAAAAAGGAUAUGAAUGAACAAUGAUCAAGAAGGGAAAAAAAAAUUGGACUUAGUUGGAAAUCUCAGAUUUUUUUUAAACUUCAUUUCUUUUUAACUUUUUAUUCAGUUGCUCAGUUGUAUCUGACUUUGCCACCUCAUGGACUGCAGCAUGCCAGGCUUCCCUGUCCUUCACCAUCUCCCAGAGCUUUUCAACCUUGGGAAAGUCAUUUAUGUUCUCUGAAAUAGAGUUUCUCUGUUUUUUUGUUUUUGUUUUUGUUUUUUUUUCCUCACAUCAGUUCAGUUCAGUUCAGUCCCUCAGUUGUGUCUGACUCUUUGCGACCUCAUGCACUGCAGCACGCCAGGCCUCCCUGUCCAUCACCAACUCCCGGAGUUCACUCAGACUCACGUCCAUUGAGUCAGUGAUGCCAUCCAGCCAUCUCAUCCUCUGUCGUCCCCUUCUCCUCCUGCCCCCAAUCCCUCCCAGCAUCAGAGUCUUUUCCAAUGAGUCAACUCUUCACAUGAAGUGGCCAAAGUACUGGAGUUUCAGCUUCAGCAUCAUUCCUUCCAAAGAAAUCCCAGAGCUGAUCUCCUUCAGAAUGGACUGGUUGGAUCUCCUUGCAGUCCAAGGGACUCUCAAGAGUCUUCUCCAACACCACAGUUCAAAAACAUCAAUUCUUCUACAAAAAGAAUGCUAUAUAAUUACAUAGUCAUUAUUAAGAUUGUAAAAGUGCAAACUCAAGUAAAACCAUACACCAUAGAUUUGGGAAAGCUGGACUUUGGACCCAUAUUAUAUCCAGCGUCAAAAUUAUAUUCAUCCCACAAAAUCACAGUCAAGAAGAUUACUAGAAUGUAUAAGGCAUCAAGAUCAAGGCGGACAGUAGGUCUUAGCCAGGUAAAUAGAAAUCAGAACAGAAAUGCCAAUAGGUGCUGAUCUCAGGCCACUAUGAGCAUGGAAACAGGGAGGAUAGGGUUAAGUCAAUGUUAGGCCUAGAUUCAGAGCAUCCUGUACUUGCCAG